rnacentral:rRNA from 1 species
CGGCUGCUCAGUAACACGUAGUCAACUUACCCUAUGGACGAGGAUAAUCUCGGGAAACUGAGCAUAAUACUCGAUAGAUCAUAAUGCCUGGAAUGGUUUAUGGUUGAAAUGAUUCAUCGCCAUAGGAUGGGACUGCGGCCUAUCAGCUUGUUGGUGAGGUAAUGGCCCACCAAGGCGAUUACAAGUACGGGCUCUGAGAGGAGAAGCCCGGAGAUGGGUACUGAGACAAGGACCCAGGCCCUAUGGGGCGCAGCAGGCGAGAAAACUUUGCAAUGUGCGAAAGCACGACAAGGUUAAUCCGAGUGAUUUCUGCUAAAGAAAUCUUUUGCAAGUCAUAAAACCACUAGUGAAUAAGGGGUGGGCAAGUUCUGGUGUCAGCCGCCGCGGUAAAACCAGCACCUCAAGUGGUCAGGAGGAUUAUUGGGCCUAAAGCAUCCGUAGCCGGCUCUGUAAGUUUUCGGUUAAAUCCAUGUGCUCAACGCAUGGGCUGCCGAAAAUACUGCAUAGCUAGGGAGUGGGAGAGGUAGACGGUACUCGGUAGGAAGGGGUAAAAUCCUUUGAUCUAUCGAUGACCACCUGUGGCGAAGGCGGUCUACCAGAACACGUUCGACGGUGAGGGAUGAAAGCUGGGGGAGCAAACCGGAUUAGAUACCCGGGUAGUCCCAGCUGUAAACGAUGCAGACUCGAUGAUGCAUUGGCAUAUAGCCAGUGCAGUGUCGCAGGGAAGCCGUUAAGUCUGCCGCCUGGGAAGUACUUACGCAAGUAUGAAACUUAAAGGAAUUGGCGGGGGAGCAG